ensembl:lncRNA
CUCAUUAUGCCAGUAUUCUGGCAGGCGAGGAGUGGCAGUCCCUGGUACUCCUGAAGGGCCUGUGGAUUAAUCCACACCCGGACCCAGCUCUGACCUUACCAUUCUACCUACCCCAUUUUUAUUUCCAGAAUUGACAACCCCUACCCUUGGCAUCCCCCGCCAUUAUCUUCAAAGUGGGUGUCUGGGCUCCCGCUCAGCCCACACUCAUGUUGCUGAGGGCAGGGACUGAAGAAGAGGGGGGGUCCUGCCACACCCCACAACCAGCUGCACAGCAAGCAGGGCUACCCUGCUAACCAGUUAGGCAGUGGGUGGCAGAGAGGUGACGUGAUUGGUCAGAUCCCCCAGAGAGAAGUCCCAAAGGAGUGACGACUUGAGGGGAGGCAUAACAUGGGGAGACUUAUAAGCAGGGUUCAUGGCUCCCUCAGGGAAAGGUUGUGUUGACUCCAUUUCUUUUCUGACACCCCCCCACACACACACAACCUUGGCUGUGCCUAGGGAUCCCAGCCCCCUACAUUAUGCUAAACAGGUAAUCAAACAUCUCGCUUUGCUAAUUACUGCUCAAUCCGAUUAAAUGCUACUGAAGCUCAUCAACAGAGAAACAGCCAGGGUAGCAAGACUCAAUACCUGGCAGAGGAAAUGGGCAGAAGAGUUGUACCACAAUGCUUCAGGGUUUCCCUCCUCCCAGAACCUUCGUUACCCUCAGAACCCAGGCAUCUGGCCAUUCCCACAGCUCCACACACGCACACCCCUGUCCCAGCUUUAAUAAGUUCUGUUCUCUCACUGUCAAUAUUUGAUUUCUCAGAGCCAUCUCCACGGAGAGAGGGGGCUCUUCCCCUGCAGCCCCCCUACCUUGGCCCUUUUUUGCCCACCCCAGGCUCUUUGUGCCCCCAACCUUCUCUGAACUAGCUGAUUUAAUGAAAUGAUAUUAAAGUCUUAAGCAACUCCAAAAGAAUGGUUGUUAUGGUGAACGGAGUGGGCAGGACGCCUGGGUCCCUGAGGGGAGCAAGGGCUGAGGAGGAGGGAGAGGGAGCCAGAGGCUAAGGUCUGGAGGCCCCAGUCCCCAAAGGGGAGCAGCAGAUUUAGGGUAAGCUGGGGGCUGGCCCUCUGGAUGAUGGUAGGAAGCAGAGGAUAAGUGCUGGGGGCUAGGACAAGGUGGGCAGUGGGAGGACAUUUCUGGGGUCCACGUCUCAGCCUGCUGUCCAGGGCAUCAUCAGGGAUGGAGAGGCCAGCUGGGAGCACAAAGCCUCUGUGCCAGCAGCCUCCCUGCUGACUACCCUGGGCAGGUCCCGUGAGAACCAGAACAAGAUUCCUCUUCAGCCCUGGCUCAUCCCUCCUCCCCUCCCCCAUCCUGCCCCUCAACAGACCCC